AACGAACGCUGGCGGCAUGCCUAACACAUGCAAGUCGAACGAGACCUUCGGGUCUAGUGGCGCACGGGUGCGUAACGCGUGGGAACCUGCCCUUAGGUUCGGAAUAACUCCCCGAAAGGGGUGCUAAUACCGGAUAAUGUCUUCGGACCAAAGAUUUAUCGCCUUUGGAUGGGCCCGCGUUGGAUUAGCUAGUUGGUAGGGUAAAAGCCUACCAAGGCGACGAUCCAUAGCUGGUCUGAGAGGAUGAUCAGCAACGCUGGGACUGAGACACGGCCCAGACUCCUACGGGAGGCAGCAGUGGAGAAUAUUGGACACUGGGCGCAAGCCUGAUCCAGCAAUGCCGCGUGAGUGAUGAAGGCCUUAGGGUUGUAAAGCUCUUUUACCCGGGAUGAUAAUGACAGUACCGGGUGAAUAAGCACCGGCUAACUCCGUG
rnacentral:rRNA from 1 species